GGUGCACCUAUAGCAGCCACAGCAGAAGCGCUCACGUUGUGGUCCUGUCAGAUUCUAAUGAAUUUGCAAAUUCUGCU
rnacentral:ribozyme from 1 species